GAUAACGACCGCACUUAAAUUAUUUAGCUACAUGUAUAUAUGUCCCAUACUCGUUAUAAAACUCUCAAACUUGGUUCUGUCGAUAGGUAGUUGAACCCAGCUGCUAGUAUAUUUUCAACUACUUCAAGCGGGUCCAUGAAAUCCAAAUCUGCAAAACUACCUUGUUCCUCUCAAUCUUCAAGCUUCAACCGGUCGUCUUGCUGGGAAACUAAGGCAGGUGAUUCAUAUCUAAAACAAAGCUUUACGUGUUCCAUAUAUAGUUUUCUCAAAGCAUUUGCAUACCCUUAGUUAUAUAUGUCUGAGAGCUGUUGCAUGGCUUUGUGCUUUUUCCCAGCCAGUCCUAUCGAUCUGUAUAUCUGAUUUCCCAUGGUACAAGCUAUUUACAAUACUAUAAAGAAAACCGCAAUUGUGAAGAAAACAAGUUUCAUUGUUGAUUAAUAGUCACCUUCUUGCACAGGUAUGUCAAGUACGAGCUGGAAGUAAUUUCUCAGGAUAUCCAAAUUCUAAAAGUAACCUUAGUACUUACUGCAAAACAAUGAGACAUUUUGUUUUCUUAUCCAUCCGCAGAGGCAUAUUCUAACUGUGCAUGUAGUUUAACUUACACACACAGUAUAUAUAAUUAUGCAUCCUCAAUUCCUCAUCUGUCUUGGAAAGAUUUAAUUUGCAUCCUAAUUAGGAGUUCUCUGCCCAGGACCAUGAAUAACACACACACGAACACACUCCUUAUAAAUCUUCUUGCAAUUGCAUGCAUGUCUAUAUGAUCUCUCUAUACAUCUAACAAUUAUAACUCUUCCAAACUACCACCGGCCAAUGAAGUCACCAAUUCACAGAAAAUUUUGGUGUUUCUUCCAAAACACACAGCCUUUCAAUACACGCCUCUGUCAUUUCAGGUAACUGUGGUCUAAUUGAGUACCAUAUAUAUAACUGCUUCAAAAUGAAGUAUUUCAAUCAAAAUUACAGUACUAACGGGUAUAAGACUAUAAUGCAUACAAGUACAUACAAAUCAUUUUUCAGUUAAGAUUAUGUACGUAUUCAACCGCAUAUACGAUCGAUGUCUCAAAUUGGCUGUCAUGUUGUGUGUAAUGUAGUGCAUGCAUGGUUGGGGCAGCUUCUUUCCUUUUCUCAGACCACUUGUCGUACGUGUCAAAGUUUAACUAUGAAGUUCCAUGCAACCCCAAGAAUGGAAACAAUGGCUCUAACAACAUUAUAGUACAUAUGAGAUAUAGUUUCAGAUCCUAAAAGAGCUGAUAAUUUGAAAACCGGCUUUCUCUUAUGAACUUGUGUCAUUGAUUUCUCGUUCAUUUGUGCAAACUAAUUAAUUGCAGCUCCCACAUGGAUGCAAAAAUAGGAUUUUGCCAAUUUUAAACAUGCCGCAAACAACUAAUUAAUUAAUCCAGGCCAGUCUUCUUAGAACUGCAUGUACUCCUCAAUUGACAACUGAUCAGGUAUACUGUAUCAUACAUCAUCAUGCCCUUUCACAAUCGCAACUAAUAGAAUUCAUAUAUAUAUAGAUAUAGGAUUUGCAAUAAAACUUCAUAUGCAGACGCACAUCAUAAACACUUUUUGGUUUUUUAAUUUCUUUCCAAAACACUUCAUCAACCUUAACGAUGUAAAAUAAAGCAAAUUCCAUAGUAUUUCCCAGAUAAUCCAACCACGAACAUACAUAGUCCUCGAUCCUGAUCGACUAUGUUAUUUUGAUAUUAAGCAUAUCAAUUUGUACUCUAACAAUACGCUGCUUUAGCUUAUAUUAUAUAUGUAUUGAUGAUUAAUAAAAAAGGGCACAAAAGGCGAAUAGGUAAUAUAGUAAUACCAUUCUGUUUACCCUAUACAGCAACUCAAUAUAUUUCCUUUGAAGUACUGUACCGGCUCCUAUGAUUGUAAUAGGUAAUUAGUAUCUUGUAUGGACUACUUACUGUAGUAAUAUAUAUGUUUUUACGCUUAGUUUCAUUUCCAAAGAUCAAUUUGGCAACUUGAGGUGGAUGUUGAGGCGGCAUAGUCCUGUGCAAUAAUAUUUUCCGGCCUCUUGGAUUCGUUGGCUCCCAUACUCGUAUGCACUUCAUCACCCACGGGAUCAAAUACUGCUUCAUUCGAGUAAUUUGCUGUUGUUUCCUUUGAAGCUUCUUGCUGGUCAUGGCUGAGCUGUGAUGCAACAAAUUUGUCAAGAACUCGCCAAUCUGUAAGUUGAUCAUCAAGACUGUUGUCAUUAUAAAGUAGUGGUGAGGAGUUGAUCAUGAGAUUAUGUUGGUUCAUCUGCUGCACUUGCUCCUCAGGCCUGAACGUGGAAGAUGGCAUGACAUGACAUCCAUUGUUCCUAAGAUGAUGAUCAUAAGUGCCAUAUUGAGCAACCUUGGGGCUUUCUAAUUGAGGGAGCUGGAGAAAAGAAUCAGGAUGAGGAGGCACAGGAAUAGCGUU
rnacentral:lncRNA from 1 species